CAGUCGCCACGGUAAUACGUAGGGUGCGAGCGUUAAUCGGAAUUACUGGGCGUAAAGCGUGCGCAGGCGGUUAUAUAAGACAGAUGUGAAAUCCCCGGGCUCAACCUGGGACCUGCAUUUGUGACUGUAUAGCUAGAGUACGGUAGAGGGGGAUGGAAUUCCGCGUGUAGCAGUGAAAUGCGUAGAUAUGCGGAGGAACACCGAUGGCGACGGCAAUCCCCUGGACCAGUACUGACGCUCAUGCACGAAAGCGUGGGGAGCAAACAGGAUUAGAUACCCCAGUAGUCCCUGUCUCUUAUAC
rnacentral:rRNA from 1 species